UACGUAGGGUGCAAGCGUUAAUCGGAAUUACUGGGCGUAAAGCGUGCGCAGGCGGUUGUGCAAGACAGAUGUGAAAUCCCCGGGCUUAACCUGGGAACUGCAUUUGUGACUGCACGGCUAGAGUGUGUCAGAGGGGGGGUAGAAUUCCACGUGUAGCAGUGAAAUGCGUAGAUAUGUGGAGGAAUACCGAUGGCGAAGGCAGCCCCCUGGGAUAACAUGACGCUCAUGCACGAAAGCGUGGGGAGCAAACAGG
rnacentral:rRNA from 1 species